GUAAACGUGAUUGUAAGUGGAAUCCAAAGAAUUUAGAGUAGACAGUUAAGAGAAUAUUACCUGUAACAAAGAAUUUAGAGUAGACAGUUAAGACAAUAUUACCUGUAUUAUUCCAGCAUGAUCACCCUUGGAAUGCUCAGGUCCAGAAUUCAACCAUGUCCCAGGCCAAUGGGUUCCAUCUGCCAUCCACGUAGCUUUUGGGAUCUUUACAUUCUCUACUGGUUCAUCCUCAGUCUUCUGCCUCUGUUGCUUCAUGGCCUUAAUUUCUUCCCUUGCAUGAUAAGCGUCAGACCUACGGCGAAUGGACUCUGGCAAGCCAUUGAUACGGACCUUAAACUCAUCAUACUCACGCUUUGCCCGCCUACGAUCCUUAACAAAGUCUUGCUUUACCUUGUUUUUGUACGGAUCCUUCUUUAAACUGAAGUAACUGUCUGGAUUUCUAGGUUCGAUGUUAUGUUUACGACAAAAUGGUACCCAUAAAUUAGCAAAACUUGCAGCUUCUGCCAUUGCCUCAAAAGUCAAAAGAGCCCCUCCAUCAUCAGAAACAUAGCAAGCAAGCUUUUCCACAGGAUAAUCUGCAGCUAGAAUGGACAAUAUAGUAUUUGCAGUCACAAGAGGAGGUUCCUUCUCUGGAUCAGCGGUAGAGACAAACAGAUCAACGCCAGGGAGAUCAGAUCUCCCAGUAGGAUUGUUUGGGCUAGGUGAUUCAAAUUUGUCUUUUAAGACACCAAGAUCAGUCGCACGGUUGAUAGGGCAAAGUUUGGGC
rnacentral:lncRNA from 1 species